rnacentral:rRNA from 1 species
ACACAUGCAAGUCGAGGGGCAGCAUGGUCUAGCAAUAGACUGAUGGCGACCGGCGCACGGGUGAGUAACACGUAUCCAACCUACCGGCUAUUCCGGGAUAGCCUUUCGAAAGAAAGAUUAAUACCGGAUAGUAUAGCGAGAAGGCAUCUUCUUGCUAUUAAAGAAUUUCGAUAACCGAUGGGGAUGCGUUCCAUUAGUUUGUUGGCGGGGUAACGGCCCACCAAGACAUCGAUGGAUAGGGGUUCUGAGAGGAAGGUCCCCCACAUUGGAACUGAGACACGGUCCAAACUCCUACGGGAGGCAGCAGUGAGGAAUAUUGGUCAAUGGACGAGAGUCUGAACCAGCCAAGUAGCGUGAAGGAUGACUGCCCUAUGGGUUGUAAACUUCUUUUAUAUGGGAAUAAAGUGAGCCACGUGUGGCUUUUUGUAUGUACCAUACGAAUAAGGAUCGGCUAACUCCGUGCCAGCAGCCGCGGUAAUACGGAGGAUCCGAGCGUUAUCCGGAUUUAUUGGGUUUAAAGGGAGCGUAGGCGGACUAUUAAGUCAGCUGUGAAAGUUCGCGGCUCAACCGUAAAAUUGCAGUUGAUACUGGUCGUCUUGAGUGCAGUAGAGGUAGGCGGAAUUCGUGGUGUAGCGGUGAAAUGCUUAGAUAUCACGAAGAACUCCGAUUGCGAAGGCAGCUUACUGGACUGUAACUGACGCUGAUGCUCGAAAGUGUGGGUAUCAAACAGGAUUAGAUACCCUGGUAGUCCACACAGUAAACGAUGAAUACUCGCUGUUUGCGAUAUACAGCAAGCGGCCAAGCGAAAGCAUUAAGUAUUCCACCUGGGGAGUACGCCGGCAACGGUGAAACUCAAAGGAAUUGACGGGGG